rnacentral:lncRNA from 1 species
CAGGCGGAUCAAGUUAAACCGUAAACUGGAAACAUAUCCAAGUCAUGGGAAAAACCAUGUUUGUUUGUAAUUACUAUCAAACGUCAUAAUAUUGAUAUUUUUUUUGUCUUUGAAUCAUACAAAUGAUUUUAUUAUUAUGAUUUUAUUUAUUUCAUAAUUCACACUGAUAGGUAUUUUGAAUCAAAAUAUUAAUUUUAUAAUUGAAUCAAAAUAUUAAUUUUAAACUUUAUUUCAUAAUUAUCUCUAUUGAAAACUGUAAUAACUAAACUUAGUUAUAUUUGUAAAAUUCGUCGAGAAUAAUACAAAGCAUUUAGUUUAAAUUUUAUUUUUAUUCUAUGAUUGAACUGAAUUAAAUUCGGUUGAUCUCGAAUGAACCCAAUCGAACCAUAUUGAUCCAUGAACCCAAAAAUUUCCGAUUUAGUUACAUUUCUG